GCGUCUGUACCGCCGCCAUCUUGGAACAGGGUUCUAAUCAGUUAUCUGUUCAUUUAACAUUAUGGCCACGCCAGUCGGUGAUCACUUUGUAAAGUUGAAGGAUAUUUGUGCCGCUAUGCUUGCAGCAACGAGAGGACGAAAAACAGCCAAAGAAGGUGUAACAUGAGAUGGCCCAAAAGAAGGAGCGAGGCGGGCAUGGGCUCUGGCUUUGAAGAGAGAGAGAGAGGUUUGUGCCAAAACAAUGCUGAUCUGAUGCUGCCACUUACCUCCUGAGCAAACUGUUCGGCUCAGAGAGCCAUCAAUUUCAACUUCAACUUCCCCAAACACUUGUCCAAGAGGAGGGGCCAGGAGGCGGGACGAGGAGGCAAGCGCAAGUGGAGGAGGCAAGGGUAGUUCCAGUCCUGUGUUCCACUCUUCAUGGAGGGCAUGGGGUGACUGUCUGCGUUUGUGACCCUCCAGUCAGCAUUGAGUUGACGGGCUACAGACACUUGCAGUUGGAGAACAGGCUGUGAACUGCUGAUAUCCUGCGCCCUUCAGCACAGUGAGCGCCAGUGCCACAGAUCAACGCAAUGUUUGAGCUGCCACAGACACCUUCAUCUUUUGGCCAUCAAAGUCAACAUGCCUUCUGAUCACCUUGUUUUUGCUGCAUGAAGACCCUCAGGAUCCUGAACAUUAUUCAGAUCAACAAUGUGUUGCCAUUUAACUGUUCCAAAGGGACUGAUGAUAGGACCGUAAGCCUUGAGCAUAUUUCUAGCUAAUUUCCUGAUCAGGUAGAUAUCUUCCCCUGAGGAAGGGUUGGUAAAUGAGGUCUUCAGAGGCUGUUCUUCUGGAUUUUACCAGAUAUGUUUCGACGGUAGGGUCACAGGGAUGUUGAUGUGUCAUGUGCUUUGAAAUGAGCUGAUGUUGUUAUGGAGGUGUGCCCUCCCUGUCAAUAUUGACAGGUUGGUCACACUUCCUACUGAGUUAUCCUUUUUGGAUGGUGGUCUAGGUGUGUGACUGCAUGUAUGCCCCCUCAUCCCUGUGAACAAAAACCAGGGAUGAGGGGGCAUACGUGCUCUAACACACCUGGCCCACCAUCCUAAAAUGACCACUCUAACAGCAGGAGGUUUGACCAAUAUCAACAGGGAGGGCACACCUCCACAACAACGUCAACUGAUUUUAAAGCACGUCACAUCAACAUCCCUGUGACCCUACCAUCGAAAUGUCUGAAGUACAUUGGUUAAUGGAUGGUUGUGGCGGGGUUCUGAUGUUGAUUGUGUAUAUAGUUGUCUUUUUUCAAUAAAUUGAAGUGUGGUCAGGCCUUGCUGUGUACUUUCAUUGCCAAACUCUGCUUAAAGGAUAACUCCAGCCAAUUUCAACAUGCAGUUGUAUUGCUCACACUACCCUCGACUUAUCUGGUGAUGCUGCAUUUUUUGGCUCAGCCCUUUCCGGGAUUUGAGCUAUUCUAAUGGGGGCAGAUUUUGUUUAUCGCUGUUUGCUAGUUGUCUGAUUUUGCAUAACCUUUUGGAUGUUUUGGGGAAUAAAUCAAGAUGGUUUUUUUUAUUAUUAUUUAGUGGGAGCAUGUUGAAAUUGGCUGGAGUUAAACUUUAAGUUUCCUAUUUUUUUUGUUUUUUAACGAUUCACUGAAACCAUUGUAAAUAUUUGGGAAUAAAGUAGUCAAAGCAAUCUGUUGCAUUGCUUAAAUAUUAUGGUAAUGGGAUUACAUUACUGAUAACAUAUGUAGCUUAUUACAUUUCAAAAGUAACCUCACCAACCCUGUGUAGGCCUAUGUAAUAUUUAUUUCAUGUGUGUAGAUUUGUAAACAUGCUGAAUAGGAUCAAAGGGUUUCAGGAAAUUAUGGAUUUAACCUGUGAUCACAUUGUUGAAACUGGGCCCAUAGGGCUUAUUGCUGGUCUUAUUGGAGAUGUCCAGAAAUAAGACAACGGUGCUGUUGUAGCUUGGUUAGUGCAGCCCUCAAAUAUUAUAAGGCACCAAACAAUAAACCAGCCUUCACUGUUGUGACUUGUGCAAAUAUUGCAUUCGUGUAGGCCCUACACAAUGAUGGCACAUUCAAGUGUAAUGUAGCCUAAUUUAGAUAGUGUCCAUAACGUAACCAAUAGCCUGUAGACAACGGUAGGCUAUACACUCAUACGGUACAUUAGAUUACAUUACAUUGCUCUUCUUAGCUGACGCUUUUUACAGACGGGAAUGAAGAAACUAAUGAUUCAUUGUAAAUAUUUUGUCCAAGUAUAAUGUAGGCCUAGUUAUUUGCUUGUGAAAUGUGUAUGUUUAAUUUUCCCCCAUGUAAACGUUUUCGAGGUAGGCUAUGCCCUGUUCAUCAGGAAGUCUCGUACAGCUGGUAUGAAUGGGGAAAAGGUAGGCCUAAUUAGUUGAG